rnacentral:rRNA from 1 species
AACGAACGCUGGCGGCAUGCCUAACACAUGCAAGUCGAACGAGACCUUCGUGUCUAGUGGCGCACGGGUGCGUAACGCGUGGGAACCUGCCCUUAGGUUCGGAAUAACUCCCCGAAAGGGGUGCUAAUACCGGAUAAUGUCUUCGGACCAAAGAUUUAUCGGCUUUGGAUGGGCCCGCGUUGGUUUCGCUAGUUGGUAGGGUAAAAGCCUACCAAGGCGACGAUCCAUAGCUGGUCUGAGAGGAUGGUCAGCCACACUGGGGCUGAGACACGGCCGGGACUCUUACGGGAGGCAGCAGUGGGGAAUAUUGGACAACGGGCGAGAGCCUGAUGCAGCAAUGCCGCGUGAGUGAUGAAGGCGUGAGGGUUGUAAAGCUGUUUUACACGGGAUGAUAAUGACGGUACCGGAAGAAUAAGCGCCGGCUAACUCCGUG